rnacentral:tRNA from 2 species
CAGGGUGUAGCUAAAACAGAUAAAGCAGUUCACUUACACCGAGAAGUUACUCGUGCAAAUCGAGUCACCCUGA